rnacentral:lncRNA from 1 species
AUGACUUAUUAGUAAUAUAAAUUUAUAUAGAUGAUAUCAUUUUCGAUGCUACUAAUGAGUCUCUUUGUCAAAAAUAAUGUAAGAUGAGUUUGAGAUAAGCAUGAUGGAAGAACUAAAUUUUUUUUUAGACUCUAAAUUAAGCAAACAGAAGAGAAAAUCCUCAUCAACCAAACAAAGUAUACAAAAAAAAAUACUCAAAAAAUUGAAAAUAGAGACAACAAAAUCAAUUGACAC